rnacentral:rRNA from 2 species
CCUACGGGGGGCAGCAGUGGGGAAUAUUGCACAAUGGGCGAAAGCCUGAUGCAGCAACGCCGCGUGAGCGAUGAAGGCCUUCGGGUCGUAAAGCUCUGUCCUUGGGGAAGAAAAAAAUGACGGUACCCUUGGAGGAAGCCCCGGCUAACUACGUGCCAGCAGCCGCGGUAAUACGUAGGGGGCGAGCGUUAUCCGGAAUUAUUGGGCGUAAAGAGUGCGUAGGUGGUUACCUAAGCGCAGGGUUUAAGGCAAUGGCUCAACCAUUGUAUGCCUUGCGAACUGGGCUACUUGAGUGCAGGAGAGGAAAGCGGAAUUCCUAGUGUAGCGGUGAAAUGCGUAGAUAUUAGGAGGAACACCAGUGGCGAAGGCGGCUUUCUGGACUGUAACUGACACUGAGGCACGAAAGCGUGGGGAGCAAACAGGAUUAGAUACCCCUGUAGUC